UACGAAGGGAGCUAGCGUUGUUCGGAAUCACUGGGCGUAAAGCGCACGUAGGCGGAUGUGUCAGUCAGGGGUGAAAUCCCGGAGCUCAACUUCGGAACUGCCUUUGAUACAGCACGUCUUGAGUCCGAUAGAGGUGGGUGGAAUUCCUAGUGUAGAGGUGAAAUUCGUAGAUAUUGGGAAGAACACCGGUGGCGAAGGCGGCUAUCUGGACCGACAUUGACGCUGAGGCGCGAAAGCGUGGGGAGCAAACAGG
rnacentral:rRNA from 1 species